rnacentral:misc_RNA from 1 species
AUAUCUCAACCACACCUCGGUGUGGCUUGGAUUUGGGGCUACGGUAGUGCAGGCUCUGACAUGGAGUCUGCUCCCCUGAAAUACAUGAGUGGUAUCCGACGUGAUGUGAUAAAUUAUCUGCAUCCUGGUCGUUGGAGUUGAUAA